GCGCACCAGGCGAGAAACCUCCGCAAUGCGCGAAAGCGCGACGGGGCCACCCCGAGUGCCGCCCGCUGAGGGUGGCUUUUCCCCGGUGUAGACAGCCGGGGGAAUAAGGGGAGGGCAAGUCUGGUGUCAGCCGCCGCGGUAAUACCAGCUCCCCGAGUGGUGGGGACGAUUAUUGGGCCUAAAGCGUCCGUAGCCGGCCCGGCAAGUCUCCCGUUAAAUCCAGCGAUCUAAUCGCUGGACUGCGGGAGAUACUGUCGGGCUAGGGGGCGGGAGAGGCCGGCGGUAUUCCCGGGGUAGGGGUGAAAUCCUAUAAUCCCCGGAGGACCACCAGUGGCGAAGGCUGCCGGCUGGAACGCGCCCGACGGUGAGGGACGAAAGCCGGGGGGCGAACCGGAUUAGAUACCCGCGUAGU
rnacentral:rRNA from 1 species